UCUCAGAUGGUCCAGUGGCUAAGAUUUCCGCCUGUCAAGCCACAAUGUGGCAGCUCGCGGACGACCGGGGUUCGAUUCCCCGUCUGAGAG